rnacentral:lncRNA from 8 species
AUUUGCAGUACACAGGAGGCUGGUGGGAGGAGACAUAUGAGGAUUGGCUAAUUGUAAUGACUGGUUCCCAUAGAAAACACAUUCCCUUCACAGCCAUGUAACUGAACAGCUUAUUCUACAUACUGUACAGUGGAUUUUAAGUCCUCAGGAAAAAUGGACCAUGAACAGAAACAGAUAAGAUAACAUAGAGAUGACGACAGGAGGGAGAGAGGGAGAGAACACAAAGGCCACGGUUCUCAUGAAAGGCUGUGCAGACUAUCCAUUAUAACAGUAAGGCUGAGUGGCAUUCUGCUCAGAAAGUGGAACAGGCUGCUAGAAUCCUGACUAGAACCAAAAAAUUUGAUCAUAUUACUCCAGUGCUAGCCUCCCUACACUGGCUUCCUGUUAAGGCAAGGGCUGAUUUCAAGGUUUUACUGCUAACCUACAAAGCAUUACAUGGGCUUGCUCCUACCUAUCUUUCCGAUUUGGUCCUGCCGUACAUACCUACACGUACGCUACGGUCACAAGACGCAGGCCUCCUAAUUGUCCCUAGAAUUUCUAAGCAAACGGCUGGAGGUAGGGCUUUCUCCUAUAGAGCUCCAUUUUUAUGGAAUGGUCUGCCUACCAAUGUGAGAGACGCAGACUCAGUCUCAACCUUUAAGUCUUUACUGAAGACUUAUCUCUUCAGUAGGUCCUAUGAUUAAGUAUAGUCUGGCCCAGGAGUGUGAAGGUGAACGGAAAGGCUGGAGCAACGAACCGCCCUUGCUGUCUCUGCCUUGCCGGUUCCCCUCUUUCCACUGGGAUUCUCUGCCUCUAACCCUUUUACAGGGGCUGAGUCACUGGCUUACUGGUGUUCUUCCAUGCCGUCCAUGGGAGGGGUGCGUCACUUGAGUGGGUUGAGUCACUGACGUGGUCUUCCUGUCUGGGUUGGCGCCCCCCCCCCUUGGGCUGUGCCAUGGCGGAGAUCGUUGUGGGCUAUACUCGGCCUUGUCUUAGGACGGUAAGUUGGUGGUUGGAGACAUCCCUCUAGUGGUGUGGGGGCUGUGCUUUGGCAAAGUGGGUGGGGUUUUUCCUGCCUGUUUGGCCCUGUCCGGGGGUAUCAUCGGAUGGGGCCACAGUGUCUUCUGAUCCCUCCUGUCUCAGCCUCCAGUAUUUAUGCUGCAGUAGUUUAUGUGUCGGGGGGCUAGGGUCAGUCUGUUACAUCUGGAGUAUUUCUCUUGUCUUAUCCGGUAUCCUGUGUGAAUUUAAAUAUGCUCUCUCUUAUUCUCUCUUUCUCUCUUUCUGUCUUUCUCUCGGAGGACCUGAGCCCUAGGACCAUGCCUCAGGACUACCUGGUAUGAUGACUCCUUGCUGUCCCCAGUCCACCUGGCCGUGCUGCUGCUCCAGUUUCAACUGUUCUGCCUGCGGCUAUGGAACCCUGACCUGUUCACCGGACAUGCUUGUUGCACCCUCGACAACUACUAUGAUUAUUAUUAUUUGACCAUGCUGGUCAUUUAUGAACAUUUUAACAUCUUGACCAUGUUCUGUUAUAAUAUCCACCCUGCACAGCCAGAAGAGGACUGGCCACCCCUCAUAGCCUGGUUCCUCUCUAGGUUUCUUCCUAGGUUUUUGGCCUUUCUAGGGAGUUUUUCCUAGGGAGUUUUUCCUAGCCACCGUGCUUCUUUCACAUGCUUUGCUUGCUGUUUGGGGUUUUAGGCUGGGUUUCUGUACAGCUCUUUGAGAUAUCAGCUGAUGUACGAAGGGCUAUAUAAAUAAAUUUGAUUUGAUU